AACGAACGCUGGCGGCAUGCCUAACACAUGCAAGUCGAACGAGACCUUCGGGUCUAGUGGCGCACGGGUGCGUAACGCGUGGGAACCUGCCCUUAGGUUCUGAAUAACUCCCCGAAAGGGGUGCUAAUACCGGAUAAUGUCUUCGGACCAAAGAUUUAUCGCCUUUGGAUGGGCCCGCGUUGGAUUAGCUAGUUGGUAGGGUAAAAGCCUACCAAGGCGACGAUCCAUGGCUGGUCUGAGAGGAUGAUCAGCCACACUGGGACUGAGACACGGCCCAGACUCCUACGGGAGGCAGCAGUGGGGAAUAUUGGACAAUGGGCGAAAGCCUGAUCCAGCAAUGCCGCGUGAGUGAUGAAGGCCUUAGGGUUGUAAAGCUCUUUUACCCGGGAUGAUAAUGACAGUACCGGGAGAAUAAGCUCCGGCUAACUCCGUG
rnacentral:rRNA from 1 species